UUCUCGUGACAUGCGGUUUCGGUAAAGGGCCAUCUAAUAAAAAGUUACUAAAAUGAUCUCUAAAAUAUGUAUUUGUUUUAUUAUUUUUGGUACUAAAAUAAACUUAUAUAAUACUCGCAAAAAUUCAAUAUCAUGUUACACUUGCACAAGUCCACCUUAUCCUGGAGGUGGAGUUGACUUUGACAAAGAUAUGUGUAAAUCUCAAAUUUGUAAUGGGCUGAUUGACAAGCAGAAAUGUGUUAAAAUUAUUGAAAAAAUAGAAGGUCAAACAAGAUAUACAAGAGCUUGUCUAGAUGUUAUAUAUAGUUCUUCUCACAGAGAAGAAAUUCCUGCAGACACAUACAGGGGUUGCAGAAAAGCUUCCGACAAAAUAUCCAGACCUGGAGAUCCAUAUGUUAGACAAAAACCUAAAUUCUAUGAAAAAUCUUUUUGUUUUUGUGAUGAAUGGGACAAUUGUAAUAGUGGAAAUUUUGUUUAUAUAAAUAUUUUCAUUCUUUAUAUUAUUAUCUUUAUUAACAUUAUCUAUUAUAUUAUUUGAUUCCUUAAAUAAUUUUUUUUAAUUAUGCAUUUAAAUGUAGUUAUUAAAAAAAUUACUUAAAUUAAAUCUCUACAAUCAUUUCAAAAUUUUUUGAAAUUAUUUUUCUACACAUUCAAAUAACAAAUUUUAUAUUAUAUGUAUAUUUUAGUGUGGAUGCAUGUUAAA